AUCAUGAUGGCAUUAAAGCAGCAGGUUCAUAUCAUGAUGGCAUUAGAGCAGCAGGUUCAUAUCAUGAUAAGAGCAGCAGGUUCAUGAUGGCAUAAGAGGAGGUUACAGAGCUCAUAUAAUGAUUGCAGAGUUUUAUAUUUCCUCCAUACGAAACUCCCUUUUGCCUAAGCUGGCCAGAGCCUAUGAGCUGAUAUAUGAGCUACGAGCUACUAGUCUACUGUUCAGGGGUGUAGUGGUAAAAUAAGAGGUGGGUAAACUAUGAAUUCUGUGAUCUCGGUGAGGUGGACUGUGCCAUACGGUAUUGGAUUUUUAACAAAGGCAUUUAGAACAUGUUUGAUAAUGGUGGAGGUUAUUGUCCAAUGUGUAUAACAAUACCAGUGGUAUUAAAU